rnacentral:rRNA from 1 species
AGCGAACGCUGGCGGCAGGCCUAACACAUGCAAGUCGAACGAACCCUUCGGGGUUAGUGGCGGACGGGUGAGUAACACGUGGGAACGUGCCUUUAGGUUCGGAAUAACUCAGGGAAACUUGUGCUAAUACCGAAUGUGCCCUUCGGGGGAAAGAUUUAUCGCCUUUAGAGCGGCCCGCGUCUGAGUAGCUAGUUGGGGAGGUAAUGGCUCACCAAGGCUACGAUCAGUAGCUGGUCUGAGAGGAUGACCAGCCACAUUGGGACUGAGACACGGCCCAAACUCCUACGGGAGGCAGCAGUGGGGAAUCUUGCGCAAUGGGCGAAAGCCUGACGCAGCCAUGCCGCGUGGAUGAUGAAGGUCUUAGGAUUGUAAAAUCCUUUCACCGGUGAAGAUAAUGACUGUAGCCGGAGAAGAAGCCCCGGCUAACUUCGUGCCAGCCGCCGCGGUAAAAC